UUCUGGAUAGCUCAGUCGGUAGAGCAGGGGAUUGAAAAUCCCCGUGUCCUUGGUUCGAUUCCGAGUCCGGGCACCA
rnacentral:tRNA from 1 species